AGAGUUUGAUCCUGGCUCAGAACGAACGCUGGCGGCGUGGCUAAGACAUGCAAGUCGAACGGUCACGGUAAUUUAUUAUUGUGAUAGUGGCGUAAGGGUGAGUAAUAGGUAGGUAACGUGCCCUGUGCUCCGGGAUAGCGUCGUCCGCUUCGGCGGACUACCGAAAGGGGCGGUAAUACCGGAUGAUGUCAUUCGUCGACGGGCGAAUGACCAAAGAUUUAUCGGCAUAGGAGCGGCUUAUUUCCUAUCAGCUUGUUGGUGAGGUAAUAGCUCACCAAGGCUAUGACGGGUAGCGGGACUGAGAGGUUGGCCCGCCACAUCGGGACUGAGACACUGCCCGGACCCCCACGGGGGGCUGCAGUAACGAAUCUUGCGCAAUGGGCGAAAGCCUGACGCAGCGACGCCGCGUGUACGAGGAAGUUCUUCGGAAUGUAAAGUACUGUCAGGGGUAAGAAAGUCUGCUUCGGCGGAUUGAUCUAACUCAGAGGAAGUCACGGCUAACUUCGUGCCAGCAGCCGCGGUAAGACGAAGGUGGCAAGCGUUGUUCGGUAUCACUGGGCUUAAAGGGUGUGUAGGCGGAAAAGUAAGCGUCCUGUGAAAUCCCCCGGCCCAACCGGGGAACUGCUCGACGUACUGCUUUUCUUGAGGCAAGUAGGGGUGCAUGGAACUCUUGGUGGAGCGGUGGAAUGCGUAGAUAUCAAGAGGAACGCCAGAGGUGAAAACGGUGCACUGGGCUUGUCCUGACGCUGAGACACGAAAGCGUGGGGAGCGAACGGGAUUAGAUACCCCGGUAGUCCACGCUGUAAACGAUGCCUACUAGGUUGUGGUGGUUCUGACGCCAGCACAGCCGAAGCAAAAGUGUUAAGUAGGCCGCCUGGGGAGUACGGUCGCAAGGCUAAACUCAAAGGAAUGACGGGGCUCACACAGCGUGAGCAUGUGGAUCAUCGAGCACGCGCAGACUUACUGGGUUUGACAUGCUGAUGCUGCCCGAAAGGGUAGCUGCCCUUCGGGGUGAACCCCGCACAGUGCUGCAUGGCUGUCGUCAGCUCGGUCAUGGAAAUGUCCGGUAGUCUUACGAGCGA
rnacentral:rRNA from 1 species